AACCCUGCGGUGUGUGACAUGUCAGACUGCAAAUCUGGAGUAGGCUAGCUGCCCGGGGUUU
rnacentral:tRNA from 2 species